rnacentral:rRNA from 1 species
UAGGGAAUUUUCCGCAAUGGGCGAAAGCCUGACGGAGCAACGCCGCGUGAGGGAUGAAGGUCUUCGGAUUGUAAACCUCUUUGGAGCGAGACGAACGAGCUUUCGGUUAAUAAUCGGAGGCAAUGACUGUAUCGCUAGAACAAGUCACGGCUAACUCUGUGCCAGCAGCCGCGGUAAUACAGAGGUGACUAACGUUGUCCGGAAUUAUUGGGCGUAAAGGGCGCGUAGGUGGUCAGGUAAGUCAGGUGUGAAAGCUCUGGGCUUAACCCAGGAAUUGCAUCUGAUACUGCUUGGCUUGAGUACGGUAGAGGAGGGUGGAAUUCCCAGUGUAGCGGUGAAAUGCGUAGAUAUUGGGAGGAACACCGGUGGCGAAGGCGGCCCUCUGGACCGAAACUGACACUGAAGCGCGAAAGCUAGGGGAGCAAACGG